UCUACUGCAAGUGCCUUGUCAUGACUUUGGCUGCGAUGCGUUGACUUGUGUUUCCAUCAGCUGUUCACUCCUGCCGUAACUGAUGUGUGAUGACCUUCCCAGGCUACUGAGUGGCAAUGCAUGUGGAUGAACAGUUGCCAGCAUUGUGACUGAAUUAAUUAUGGAAUGUCUUCCGAUCAGGCUGCUAUUAAACCCUUGCUUCCAUUGCUGCUUACCACCCAUGGCAGGUUAAGCUAUGGAAUGGGAGAUUAGCUGAAAUAAUUGAAAUGCGCUGCUCUAUCAAGUGGAAGUGAAGGUGUUAACCCUUUAACAUGCUUCUUCGCGCACCUUUGUGAAACACCAUGGAGUUCUUAUUUAUUCAGCAGAAUAAUUGCUAAGAAAUGGACCCUGUGAUCUUUCUGUUUGCUCACAGGGAAGCUUAGCUCACAGGAGAAACUAUUCAUGCAGCUCACAACAGUGCUGUAAGAAAAGGUUCAACGGGAAGAAAAAGAGUAUUUUAGACCGCCUGCCCCAUACAAGGCCAUCAUUCAUAUGCAGAACCAAUUCCAUCAAUUUAACACGUGUCUGAAUUGACCCACGUUGAGCAUGUUAAAGAUUGGGGACAGUUAGCUACUGUGACAUGAGACCUCUGAUGGAAAAGCUAUAAAACUCUGGGAUGAAAAGAUCAAUGGUCGGGCAGGACUCAAACCUCUGAAUACAAAGGAUGAAAUGAUGUCAUUGGAGUAAUACUGACUGUGCAAUAUUGUAAGGAGUGUGAUAUUAUUUCAUUUACUCAAUAUGCCCUACCAUCAACAUCCAUUGCCAUUGAUCAGAAACAGAACUGGGCUAGCCAUAUAGAUGUUGUGGCUACAACAACAGGCAGAGGCUGGGAAUCCUGCAAUGAGUAACUCACCUCCUGACUCCCCAAAGUCUUUCCACAAUCUACAAGUAACAAGGCAGAUAUUCUCCACUUGACUGGAUGAAUGCAGCUCCAACGAAACUCAAGAAGUUAGGUAUCAUCCAGGACAAAGCAGCCCAUUUGAUUGGCAGUAUUAAACACCCCUGCACUGUAGGUGUAAAGGAAAAGACUGUAUCUCGCUCUAACUCCUGCAUGCCCCAGACACCGCCAAAGGAAAUAGAAUUUCAGCAAAUGCAAAGCAAAGAAUCUCAAAAUUGAUUGCUCAACUAUCAGUGGUAAUAUGAUUGACAUCACCCAAUAUAAUGGCUGCAAUGUCUCAUCAACUAUUUUCACAGAUAUUAGACACUGAUCCCUAUGUUUUAAACUUUAAU